rnacentral:rRNA from 1 species
UACGAAGGGUGCAAGCGUUACUCGGAAUUACUGGGCGUAAAGCGUGCGUAGGUGGUUUGUUAAGUCUGAUGUGAAAGCCCUGGGCUCAACCUGGGAAUUGCAUUGGAUACUGGCAGGCUAGAGUGCGGUAGAGGGUAGUGGAAUUCCCGGUGUAGCAGUGAAAUGCGUAGAGAUCGGGAGGAACACCAGUGGCGAAGGCGACUACCUGGACCAGCACUGACACUGAGGCACGAAAGCGUGGGUAGCGAACAGG